GCCCGGCCGGCUAUAAGUGCGAGUGGCGGGGUUCCCCGCCUGCCGGUGAGGAGCUCUAGCUGUGUGUUCAUUCUGCGGGGUGCCGGUCCGGCCCGGCCAUGUCUGACCCAGCUCCGCAGCCUGCUCCCGGGGCCCCCGAAGGGGGAGCCCCCGAAGGAGGAGCUACUGAAGGGGGAGCCCCCGGUGCGGGCCCCCCCGGGGCUCCCCCUAAUCUGAGCAGUAAUCGCCGCCUGCAGCAGACCCAGGCCCAGGUGCAGGAGGUGGUUGAUAUAAUGUGUGUAAAUGUAGACAAGGUGCUGGAACGAGACCAGAAACUGUCAGAGCUAGAUGACCGGGCAGAUGCACUUCAGGCCGGUGCCUCAAUAUUUGAAAGUAGCGCAGCAAAACUCAAAAGGAAGUACUGGUGGAAGAACUGUAAGAUGAUGAUCAUGAUGGGAGUGAUUGGUGCCAUUAUUGUGGUGGUGAUUGGAACAUAAACAUACCUGAAGUUCUGGCCCUCAAAGCAGUGGCUGGUUUUCCAUUGAAAAAUGAUGGUAGUUCCAGUUGUGCUGGACUGAGUCUGGUGACGGUGCCACCAGUACUCUGUAUUUUCUGUGGGGCAAUUGAGAGACACUGGUUUAAUGAGACCAGAGUAAUGCCUCAGAGUGCCCACUGUGAGGUGUUUUUUGAUCUUACUAAUUGGUCCUGUCCUUUUGCUCUGGACCAUCUCCAGGCUUUCAAUAUAAUAAAAAACCCCGUGGGUGGCUGCUCAGUCAGUGGGUGUUGCAGCUCCAGGCUUUGCUGGGCUUCCAAUUUCGCAUCGUCAGUCACAGGGGACCGUGACUUCUCCAGUGGUUGCCAAUGAGGUUCCUGCUCUUGUCAGCUUGUCCUUCCUUGCUGGCUGCAUGGGAGCCAGCUGUCACAUACCCACCUGUUAUCUGGGUGUGUCCAAAUCCAGCAGGCAGUCAAAAAAGCUUCCGUGAGUCCUGACCCAGAAUAGCAGCCUCUGGGAGCAAGGGGACUGGUAUUGACACCAAGGGUCCCUUGGAACUCCCCUUCCUGAAUCCUGGGUGGUUCCCCCCUCUCUGUGGGCUCAGCCAACCUGUUCACUGGCCCUGGAGCCCUGCAGUAGGCUUGACUCCACAGAGUGGUGUGGGAGGUGCACAGACAGAAGGCAACCAUUGGAACUAAAAAUUUAUUGGUAAUGCAUCAAAAAUGAAGAGGAAAAGAUACAAGCAAAAACUGCUUCCACCAGCAGUUACACUCUGCCCGUAGUUGCUCUUAGGUGUUCCCACAGGUCAGACAACUCAAAUGGAUUCAUGGAUUGACAGCAUUGAGGCAGCAUGGUGGUCCAGGACCUGAGGAGACUCCACUAACAUUACUGAGCAUCUGCUCUUGUUUGAGUACCUUCAUCUGUUCAGGUGGCUUGUGCUCAUCUGAAGGAUUCCCUCUUCUUUAGCUGCUGACCUUGCCAUUUGCAAAUUUUAUCAACAAUAUUUUUUACAGUUGUAUCUCCUGCUGCAAAUACUAAACAGCACAGUUGUUGCAGAGAGGCACACAUUGUCUGCAGUGAUUGCUGCUUUUUUUGGACCAUGUAUUUUUGUCUGUUAGCUAGCAAUUAAUCCAUAUAAUGCAAAUUACGGUCUAUUCACACACUAUUAAUUUCUUCCUUAGAAUUUACAAAUUUCUUGGUUUGUUUAAUCUGCACCAGUGCUUUCAUGAACCAAAUGUAUUAUUUUGUCAAAGAAUAAAGUCAGGUUUGUUUCCCACAAUGGUUUCUUUUUUUUUGAAUACUAAGUUGUUCAUAUUAUUUUAAUUGUUUAAACAUCUGUUAGCUGACUUGUAAUAACUUCAUGCUCUCUUACCUAUGAUUAUUACUACAGAACCAUCUAACAGUCAGGUGUCAUAUAACUUUCUCUCUCUGAGCAGUGGCACCACAUAGUCUUCCAAGAUUGGGAACUUUUCAAGUAUGGGAGAAGUUGGGAAUCUUGGGAUUUCUCUAGUAUGCCAGGAUUUUUAAAUACCUAAAUCCAUUGGGCCAAGUGCCUUCUCAGCCAAAUUUUCUAUGAUUCUGAGAUGCAAAUUUUCCUGGCUCCUGAUCUGAAAAUAUUUAUGCUUAAUAGAUGCUGUUAAAACUUUCCUUAGUUUGCAAACAGAUGAGGAAGUUGUUUACUAUCCUUAUGUAGUAGAAAUACACAAAUCCGUUUCUUUCUGUAUACAAACAAGUACUUUCUCUGCAUCAAAAAGCCUUCACCAAAAAUCUUCAUUAUCAACAGUUUUACCCAUAUCCACCCAGUAAGAGCCUAAGCUGUUACUAGUAUUUUUUAGUUUUCAGAAUGUUUUGAAAAAAACUGCUUCCAAGUGCCGUUAGGACUUGCAGCAACCCAGUUUUUCCAGAUUGUUUUGAACACUCCUUAUCACCUUGUAUGCUUCAUAAAUUCUCACUUUUAUUGUGUGCCAUAUACCUCCUUUGCAUCCACCCCUUCCUUCUGCUUUUUUUUUCCCCUGUUGAUUUUAUACAGGGAAUUUUGAAGUGUUAACCUUUAAAUUCCCCGUUAGGCAGGAAAGGUACAUUUAAUCAUGUCUGUUCUUUUCACAACUACAGAACCACAGAUCUUCUCCAUUUUGUAAACUUCUAGCAGUGAAAUAUCUAUUAAAAUUUUUAUUGUAGCUUUCUCCUGGAGAGUCAUAUUUCUCUGAUUGCUUGAUUUGCCCAUAACUUCCCCCACCUGAGGAUUCACCAUUUUGAAAUACCAAUUUUGCCUACUUAUAUGCCCAACUUCACACAUAAAAUGCUUAUACACAUAAAUAUCUUACUUAAACACCUGCCUUGUAGGCAUUAACCAAAUGUACUUAUAUAUAGCUAC